CUUUGAUUAGUUUAAUUUAAUUUCCUUAUUAUAUAUCUUACUGUUGAUGUUCUUAUAGCAUGUUAGUUUAUUUGAAGGGCAGCAACUCAACAACAGGUCAGCUGAUUGUGGAUGGCAACGAGCAGCACCAGGGAGCCUGGGGGAUGCUCAAGGAGCAGCACAGGACCAGAGGAGGGGCAGUAUCGUCUACAUGGAAGAGAGAGCUGCAGCUCAACAGCAGCAGGUCAAAGGUGGAAGGAAGGUGAGGAUGGCAGCGGCUGUUGAGUGGAUGAGAUGGAAGGCGGAGAAGGAGACGAUAAAGGUAAAGCAAGGAGGUUGUGAUAGGAAGGUCAAAGAAGACCCGGAAGCUCAGAGGAGUCGAGAGAAAAGAAGAGCAAGGGAUCGUGGUUGAUGAUGGACCAAAGGAAGAGGAAAGGAGAGGGAGUCCAAGAUGGUGAUGGGCUGUGUGUGAGUUGAUAGAGAUGGACGUGAGAUGACAGAGACAAGGAGAGGAGGGUGCUGGUGUAAAGACCAAGCUGACGAGAGAAGGAAGGAGGGAAUGUUGCUGCAAUCGCUUAAGGAGGAGUCGAGAGAGACGGCUGAAAAACAGCUGAGCAGGAGAUGGCAUGAAGAUCCCAUGCUAUGGCUGCUCUCCCCUUUGACUGAGAGACCGAGAGAGAGAGAGCUAGGAAGUAGGAACAGAGGGAAGGGCAGCUGCCGUCUCUUCUGGCUAUCUGUGCUCUGUUCUGACCCGAGAGAAAGAGAGAGAGAGCAAGAGAGAAGGAAGGGCUGCGGAGCUGCUGGGUAAAGGGGAGGGCCCGAGAGAGAGAGUACGAGAGGGUGGCGAAACAGCGGAAAAAGAACAAGAAAAGAAGAAAAGAAGAAAGGGAGAACACGCUUGAUGGAAAUGUUGCGUGAAGAUGAUGUUUUUGCCAAAAAUGGCGGGUGGCGUGAAUGGAUCAGCAGAGGAUGGGGUUUGGAGGUAGCGGUUGCAGGAGCUGCAGAAGAAAAGGAGAAAAAAAAAAAGAGAGAGAAGGAAGGAAGAAGAGCAAGGGAAGGCAUGCGGACCCCUCUGCCAUGCAACUUCAAAUUUUUUUUUUUGUUAUUAUUAUUUUUAUCGAUUUAUUCACACGGGCGUGGUUGCAGGAGCUGCAGAAG